UACGAAGGGGGCUAGCGUUGUUCGGAAUUAUUGGGCGUAAAGAGCUCGUAGGCGGCCUGUUGCGUCCGCUGUGAAAGCCCGGGGCUUAACCCCGGGUCGGCAGUGGAUACGGGCAGGCUAGAGGUAGGUAGGGGAGAAUGGAAUUCCCGGUGUAGCGGUGAAAUGCGCAGAUAUCGGGAGGAACACCGGUGGCGAAGGCGGUUCUCUGGGCCUUACCUGACGCUGAGGAGCGAAAGCGUGGGGAGCGAACAGG
rnacentral:rRNA from 1 species